rnacentral:rRNA from 1 species
GGGUUGUGAGGUUAAGCGACUAAGCGUACACGGUGGAUGCCCUGGCAGUCAGAGGCGAUGAAGGACGUGCUAAUCUGCGAAAAGCGUCGGUAAGGUGAUAUGAACCGUUACAGCCGGCGAUGUCCGAAUGGGGAAACCCAGUGCAAUUCGUUGCACUAUCGUUAACUGAAUACAUAGGUUAACGAGGCGAACCGGGGGAACUGAAACAUCUAAGUACCCCGAGGAAAAAAAAUCAACCGAGAUUCCCCAGUAGCGGCGAGCGAACGGGGAGCAGCCCAGAGUCUGAAUCAGCUUGUGUGUUAGUGGAACGGUCUGGAAAGUCCGACGGUACAGGGUGAUAGUCCCGUACACCAAAAUGCACAGGCUGUGAACUCGAAGAGUAGGGCGGGACACGUGGUAUCCUGUCUGAAUAUGGGGGGACCAUCCUCCAAGGCUAAAUACUCCUGACUGACCGAUAGUGAACCAGUACCGUGAGGGAAAGGCGAAAAGAACCCCGGCGAGGGGAGUGAAAAAAGAACCUGAAACCGUGUACGUACAAGCAGUGGGAGCACCUUCGGGUGUGACUGCGUACCUUUUGUAUAAUGGGUCAGCGACUUAUAUUCUGUAGCAAGGUUAACCGUAUAGGGGAGCCGCAGGGAAACCGAGUCUUAACUGGGCGUUAAGUUGCAGGGUAUAGACCCGAAACCCGGUGAUCUAGCCAUGGGCAGGUUGAAGGUUGGGUAACACUAACUGGAGGACCGAACCGACUAAUGUUGAAAAAUUAGCGGAUGACUUGUGGCUGGGGGUGAAAGGCCAAUCAAACCGGGAGAUAGCUGGUUCUCCCCGAAAGCUAUUUAGGUAGCGCCUCGUGAAUUCAUCUUCGGGGGUAGAGCACUGUUUCGGCUAGGGGGUCAUCCCGACUUACCAACCCGAUGCAAACUACGAAUACCGAAGAAUGUUAUCACGGGAGACACACGGCGGGUGCUAACGUCCGUCGUGAAGAGGGAAACAACCCAGACCGCCAGCUAAGGUCCCAAAGUCAUGGUUAAGUGGGAAACGAUGUGGGAAGGCACAGACAGCCGGGAUGUUGGCUUAGAAGCAGCCAUCAUUUAAAGAAAGCGUAAUAGCUCACUGGUCGAGUCGGCCUGCGCGGAAGAUGUAACGGGGCUAAACCAUGCACCGAAGCUGCGGCAGCGACACUAUGUGUUGUUGGGUAGGGGAGCGUUCUGUAAGCCUGCGAAGGUGACCUGUGAGGGUUGCUGGAGGUAUCAGAAGUGCGAAUGCUGACAUAAGUAACGAUAAAGCGGGUGAAAAGCCCGCUCGCCGGAAGACCAAGGGUUCCUGUCCAACGUUAAUCGGGGCAGGGUGAGUCGACCCCUAAGGCGAGGCCGAAAGGCGUAGUCGAUGGGAAACAGGUUAAUAUUCCUGUACUUGGUGUUACUGCGAAGGGGGGACGGAGAAGGCUAUGUUAGCCGGGCGACGGUUGUCCCGGUUUAAGCAUGUAGGCUGGUUAUCGGGCAAAUCCGGAUAAUCAAGGCUGAGGUGUGAUGACGAGGCACUACGGUGCUGAAGUAACAAAUGCCCUGCUUCCGGGGAAAAGCCUCUAAGCAUCAGGUAACAUCAAAUCGUACCCCAAACCGACACAGGUGGUCAGGUAGAGAAUACCAAGGCGCUUGAGAGAACUCGGGUGAAGGAACUAGGCAAAAUGGUGCCGUAACUUCGGGAGAAGGCACGCUGGUGUGUAGGUGAAGUCCCUGCGGAUGGAGCUGAGACCAGUCGAAGAUACCAGCUGGCUGCAACUGUUUAUAAAACACAGCACUGUGCAAACACGAAAGUGGACGUAUACGGUGUGACGCCUGCCCGGUGCCGGAAGGUUAAUUGAUGGGGUUAUCCGUAAGGAGAAGCUCUUGAUCGAAGCCCCGGUAAACGGCGGCCGUAACUAUAACGGUCCUAAGGUAGCGAAAUUCCUUGUCGGGUAAGUUCCGACCUGCACGAAUGGCGUAAUGAUGGCCAGGCUGUCUCCACCCGAGACUCAGUGAAAUUGAACUCGCUGUGAAGAUGCAGUGUACCCGCGGCAAGACGGAAAGACCCCGUGAACCUUUACUAUAGCUUGACACUGAACAUUGAGCCUUGAUGUGUAGGAUAGGUGGGAGGCUUUGAAGCGUGGACGCCAGUCUGCGUGGAGCCAACCUUGAAAUACCACCCUUUAAUGUUUGAUGUUCUAACGUUGGCCCCUGACCGGGGUUGCGGACAGUGUCUGGUGGGUAGUUUGACUGGGGCGGUCUCCUCCCAAAGCGUAACGGAGGAGCACGAAGGUUAGCUAAUCUGGUCGGACAUCAGGAGGUUAGUGCAAUGGCAUAAGCUAGCUUGACUGCGAGCGUGACGGCGCGAGCAGGUGCGAAAGCAGGUCAUAGUGAUCCGGUGGUUCUGAAUGGAAGGGCCAUCGCUCAACGGAUAAAAGGUACUCCGGGGAUAACAGGCUGAUACCGCCCAAGAGUUCAUAUCGACGGCGGUGUUUGGCACCUCGAUGUCGGCUCAUCACAUCCUGGGGCUGAAGUAGGUCCCAAGGGUAUGGCUGUUCGCCAUUUAAAGUGGUACGCGAGCUGGGUUUAGAACGUCGUGAGACAGUUCGGUCCCUAUCUGCCGUGGGCGCUGGAGAAUUGAGGGGGGCUGCUCCUAGUACGAGAGGACCGGAGUGGACGCAUCACUGGUGUUCGGGUUGUCAUGCCAAUGGCACUGCCCGGUAGCUAAAUGCGGAAGAGAUAAGUGCUGAAAGCAUCUAAGCACGAAACUUGCCCCGAGAUGAGUUCUCCCUGAGACUUUAAGUCUCCUGAAGGAACGUUGAAGACGACGACGUUGAUAGGCCGGGUGUGUAAGCGCAGCGAUGCGUUGAGCUAACCGGUACUAAUGAACCGUGAGGCUUAACCUUACAACGCCGAAG